GAUGAACGCUGGCGGCGUGCCUAAUACAUGCAAGUCGAGCGAACAGACGAGGAGCUUGCUCCUCUGACGUUAGCGGCGGACGGGUGAGUAACACGUGGAUAACCUACCUAUAAGACUGGGAUAACUUCGGGAAACCGGAGCUAAUACCGGAUAAUAUAUUGAACCGCAUGGUUCAAUAGUGAAAGACGGUUUUGCUGUCACUUAUAGAUGGAUCCGCGCCGCAUUAGCUAGUUGGUAAGGUAACGGCUUACCAAGGCAACGAUGCGUAGCCGACCUGAGAGGUGAGCAGGCCCCCGUGAAAGAGGACCAGGGCCCAACCUCGGAGGGGGGCAGGCGGAAGGCAUCCUCCGGAAAGGGGAGAAGGGUAGACGCCGAAACGGGGGGAAGGGGUAAGGGGUAUUGGCUCGGAAAAAUUUGAUGAUGAGGGAAAAAAAAAUGUGUAAGCACGAGUACACGUAUUGACGGUACCUAGGAAAAAAGCACCGGCUAACUCCGUG
rnacentral:rRNA from 1 species